UGUUAUUAUAAUAAAUGAUGAUUUAAAUAUAAAAAUACAAGAAUAUUAUAUAUAUAAAAUAGAAGAAUUGGAAUAUAUUUUGAUACUAAGAUACCUGCAUUAUAAAUAUAUUAUGAGAAUGGAUGACCGAACAGUAUUGUUCCGAUAAAUGAAGUUGAAUGAUAUGCUGAAGUGCAAGCGGUGCUCACACAAGGAUGUGAUUGGUAUGCCGAAGCACAAGCGGUACUCACUGAAUGAUAAUACACACACUUUAAUAUUGUUAUAAUAAAAGGUGAAUGGUAUGCCGAAGUGCAAGCGGUGCUCACACAGGGUUGUGAAUGGUAUGCCGAAGCACAAGCGGUGCUCACCUAAUGAUAAUUAGUAUAUAGUGGCUGGUAUGCCGAAGUGCAAGCGGUGCUCACACUGGGUUGUGAAUGGUAUGCCGAAGCACAAGCGGUACCCACUAUACUAUUUAUCUGAUAAAGAAUUCUGAGGAACAAUGAACAUACAGUGUAGCCGACCAAAAAUUCACCUAGCAACGUUGCCGCGUAGCAGACCAGCGUCAGACCAACAUUAAGUACAUCAAUACGAACAGUCGGAAUAUGGUUUACUAAUUACUUAUAGUCUCUUUGAGUUUUGUUUUUAAUUAUGAUUGCUAAGUGCAUUUAAUAUCACCGCAUAGAUAUAAUAACUUUAUUAAUUUUGCUAAUUCAUUCAGUUUGUUAACAUACAUUUAGAACUUGUUAGUUAGCGUUCGAAUGGCCGACAGGGAAUGGGGACAUUCCCAAUAACAGGACGGCCGACUGUUAGCGUUUAAAUUUACCAAUGCUAUUCUUUACUAAUAUCAAGCUACUUAUUUCAUCAUAGGUCUGGCCGGAUUACUCUAGAAGUUGUUCUUUAGUUCAUUUAGUUUCUAUAUUGUCUGUGAUUCGCAUUGACUGGCCGGUCACUCGAUUCAUUCAUUCAUUCAUUCAAGAUGGCAGAAAAAACAAGAAUAACUUUUAAGGAUUUCUGUUUGUUAUUAGAUUCCUUUUUGAAUAGUUUGUGUUUCUUAUAAAAGUAUUUUACUUCAAACUUC